UGAGUCUUCUUUUAAAAAAAAAAUAUUACAGCGGCGCAGCGAUUACCUACCUACAAUAAAAUAAAUUGAUAUAAAGGGAAACAUUUUAAUAUAAGCUAUUAUUUUGUGUAACGAUAAAAUACACCGAAAUAAUCAAUAAACAAAAAAAUGGUGGGCAAUGAAUCCCCUCCCCGUGACACUGGUGUCCUAUAUUUAGAGGAAGUUAAAGUUUGAUUGUCACCUACUUCAAAGUGACCAAACCAUAAGUGUUAUGAGCCAACUUGAAAGGGUCCAGUGAAAGUUAUCUAGUUUUGCUGCCUAUUUAUUAAAAAUUGAACACGAAACUCAUGAUUAUGGACCAGUUUCAAGUACGGUAUGUUUGCAGUCCUUAGCUGAUAGGCGAGUUAACUAAAAUAAGGUCUUUCUUUGCAAAAUUAUUGGGUCAAUUGAUUAUCCUUAGUUUCUCUCCUUGGUUAACUUAAGAUAGCUUGUGUCCAGAUCUGCUUUGUAUAUUUUAUCUAUGCCUUUGUGUUUCGACAUACUUUUUCAAUAACUGCCCACUUUAUGGGAUGAUGUGUAUUGCUAACAAAGAUCCGUUUUUUAAUUGUAAGUUGUCCUUGUAUAUUAUUUCUCUAUUUAUUAUCUAUGUUUAUCAUGUAUUUCAUAUAUCUGUCUUUCUAAUUUAAUUGCAUUUUUGUAUCUCAUUAUGAUAAUUAAUAACAUACUUUGGGCCGUGACCCGUAUUGAAAAUAAAUAAUAGUCUAUGAAUAAGUCACAGUGGAUUGGUAGAACCAAGAAUAUUGUUUUGUGGAAUUUUCGUGAGACUCAAUUCAAUAAUCAAUAAUGUGAGUUUUACUAGUCAAUAAUUAUCUGCAUGAUAACUUAUUAUUUUUACAUUGUGUGGAAUUCUUUAUACAGAAUUGUAUUAUUGAUACUAUUAAAUU